rnacentral:rRNA from 1 species
UACGUAGGGUGCAAGCGUUAAUCGGAAUUACUGGGCGUAAAGCGUGCGCAGGCGGUUAUAUAAGACAGUUGUGAAAUCCCCGGGCUCAACCUGGGAACUGCAUCUGUGACUGCAUCGCUGGAGUGCGGCAGAGGGGGAUGGAAUUCCGGCGUGUAGCAGUGAAAUGCGUAGAUAUGCGGAGGAACACCGAUGGCGAAGGCAAUCCCCUGGGCCUGCACUGACGCUCAUGCACGAAAGCGUGGGGAGCAAACAGG